rnacentral:lncRNA from 1 species
GGAAGCCAUAGCUCUGAGGUCUCCAGGUCCUGCAUGUCCUUUUAUAGGAAAUGGGACAAGGGUCAAAAUAACAAGGGGAGGAAUUAAAAAAGCCCAGGGCCAGGAAGGGCCCAUCAAGCCAUGGGCAUCCUUCAGAAGGCAGGACAGCCACCACACUGGGCCACUACAACUGGACAGGAGGGUUUCACACCUGGACCUGGGGCUGUGGACAAAACCCCACACAAAGGGCAGCAGCUGAGGGGCUGGGGUGGAGGCUCAGUGGUAGAACGUUCACCUGGCAUGUCUGAGGCCUGGGUUCGAUCCUCAGCACCACAUAAAGAUAAGUAAAUAAAGAUGUUGUGUCCAACUACAACUAAAAACGAAAAGGCAGCAGCUGAGGCUGGACACAAGGCCCAUUGUUGCCUGGUCCACCACCAGGAAAAGUCCCCUCAGUUCCUCAAAGCUAGGGAAGGGCCAGUUGCAAGCAGCGCCUUUCCUGAGUGAGUGCUGACACUGAGUGAGCUCAACCUGACACUGAGCCCGGGAGUGCUGGACAGAGUUCACAUGGCUGCGGUUGAGUGACUGAGGCAGGACCUUCAGUUCUGUAGCUGUCAGCCCAGAGGCCCUGGACAGCUAAAGGUUCUGAUGCACUUGCUGUGUGACAACACCUGGGUGAAGGGACAGGGUGACCUUUGAUUUGUGUCUGUUGAGAGACCCUGUUGCCUGAAGGGGGGACUAGAAUGGUGGUCCUUGAAGGAGUCCCUCCACUGGGUGGAAUUCACAGGCACCACCCAGCUUCCUUGUUGCCAGGAAAUGGUGUGAGGAAUGGCCAGGGUUGGGAACCCGUCCCCCGCCACCCUCCCACCCUACCCUGGAAGAACUUGCUGCACACUGACA